GUCGCCGAAGGACGACUUGGGACCCUUAUAAAGGGCGGUCCGGAAACCGGUAUUACGCCCUGCCUCGGCCACUGCAGACCGUGACGUCGGAGAUGCUGCGUUGUAUGGGAGUCGCGUCGUGUUCGAUACGUUGUGCCGCUCGGGUUCUACGUGCCCGGAACGGACUCACCGAGCCGAUUCCAACUUGAAAUGCAACACCACCCAAGGAUUUAGAGGGACGCCUUCGAACCAUGGCCACUCGACGAAAUCAUUGGGAGCAUUGGAGAUCGGUGUCUGGCGAAAUCCGAAUGCAGUUCCAAACGGUGCCCACGCUUACCAGUUAUACCCGGAUAUCCUUGGCGUGGUAAACUCCGAGGUGGCAUCCUUGCAGGUCUUCCAACUCAUAGGCAUUGCUACCAACGGCUUUCACCACUCGAGCCUUAAGGAAUUUCCAGCAAACUUAGCGUUGAACGACUUGCCAAAAUCACUAAGAACGAAGUUUCGGUGGUAUACCUCUUGACCUGGCUUGGCCAUGAAGUUUCGAGCCCGUUGGUCAUAUCGCUUGCGGCUUCGGUCAUAGGCUGUCUCCAGAUUCUUCCAGACCUUUUCCUGGAUCACUCGGAGUUUGUCCGCCGU